rnacentral:rRNA from 1 species
GAUGAACGCUAGCUACAGGCUUAACACAUGCAAGUCGAGGGGUAACAAGAGAAAAGCUUGCUUUUCUUGUUGACGACCGGCGCACGGGUGAGUAACGCGUAUCCAACCUGCCUAUAACUAGGGAAUAACCUUGCGAAAGUAAGACUAAUACCCUAUGAUUUCCUUUGAUGACAUCAGAUUAGGAAUAAAGAUUUAUCGGUUAUAGAUGGGGAUGCGUUUGAUUAGAUUGUUGGCGGGGUAACGGCCCACCAAGGCAACGAUCAGUAGGGGUUCUGAGAGGAAGGUCCCCCAAAUUGGAACUGAGACACGGUCCAAACUCCUACGGGAGGCAGCAGUGAGGAAUAGUGGUCAAUGGGCGGAAGCCUGAACCAGCCAAGUAGCGUGCAGGAUGACGGCCCUAUGGGUUGUAAACUGCUUUUAUACAGGAAUAAAGUUAGCCACGUGUGGUUAUGUGUAGGUACUGUAUGAAUAAGGACCGGCUAAUUCCGUGCCAGCCGCCGCGGUAA